CCCAGGUAAACAUCCAGAUCUUAGCUGUAUGAACUUACAACCAACUUGAGUUACAACCAUCCCUUGGUCAACAGUCAAGUUCAUAAGUCAAGGGUCCACUGUGCUGCAUGUCUUCUCAUGGCACAGAGAACUUCAGAGAGUAAUUCUUCUAGGCCAAAAAGGUAUUGGCCUGUUUGUGUCCUGCGGCCGCCAUUUUGGAUGUGUGGAUUCCAUUUAGCUUUUCCUGAUGCCACAGCCCCAAGCAACCCUAACUCUCUCACCCACAGCAGACUUCAGUUUCCAAGAUGAAGCCACCAAUACUACCAUGAUUUAAAAGAGACACAAGAUGCAUUAAAUGUAUGUUAAAAAUCACACAGAUACUCAUUUGCCUGUAUCUCCUAGUUUCUUCUGUUAAUGGGAAAAAUCUCUCUGGGACGGUGAUGUAAUCAGCCACUAUUCUCAAUUUUAACACUAUGUUUUGUACCUGUGAGAUUAUGGGUGGGCGCUUUUUUGUGGGUGUUUUUGUAUUGGGUUUUUUGUUGUUUUUUUCUGAUAAAAAGAGGGUGUCUUAGUUACUUCUCUCAUUGCUGAAACAAUACUAACACCCAAAGUUAAGGGAGGAAAGGUUUAUUUAGCUCACAGUUUGUAGAGGUUUUGGUCCAUGGCUGGCUCAAGGCAGAGUGGCACAUGGCAGAGGGGAUUCGCAGAGGAAUCCCAUUGCACCCAG
rnacentral:lncRNA from 1 species